GCUCAGUGUCCCCCUCCCUUGCCGCUUUCAGCCCAGGAGGAAGCGAAGUCGCCACCAGACCAAGCAAAAGCGCUGAGCCGAGGCGGGGCGAGCGGUGGUGCGAGCGAGAGGCGGGGUCCCCCCCAGCUUAGUCGAGCCACGUGCGGUUGUUUCCGUGUCGGGGCGAUCACGUGAGCAGCAUCAGCUGACCCGUCACGGUGGCGCCCCGCGCUGGCGCCCUGCAGCCCCCGCCCCGCCGCGCCGGGAGCGCCAGACCCUACGGAGGGGUAAGAGCGCCCCCGCCCCCCUCUGUCCCCGGCCCACCCCCGCUGCCUCCCCCCCAGCCCCUGUCCCUCGCCCAUCCUCACCUACCCGCCCGGCCUGCCACCCCGGAAGCUGUGGCGAGGAGGGCCUUGGCCAGGCUCAGCCCCGCGCUGCCCCCAGGCGGCCAAGAGGGGAUGGCCCUGGGGAACAGGGGGCGGGAAGUCGCUCUUACCACCGAAGCCGAGGGCUGGUCACCGGCCCUGAGCCCCGACAUGGAGGAACUGCUCCGGAGCGUGGAGAGGGACCUGAACAUCGAUGCCCGGCAACUGGCUCCAGCCCCAGGGGGCACCCACGUGGUGGCCCUAGUGCCCGCGCGCUGGCUGGCCAGCCUCCGCGAGCGCCGGCUGCCCCUGGGACCCUGUCCCCGCGCAGAAGGCCUGGGCGAAGCGGAAGUGAGGACUCUUCUGCAGCGCUCCGUGCAGAGGCUGCCCCCCGGCUGGACCCGAGUGGAGGUGCAUGGGCUGCGGAAACGGAGGCUCUCCUACCCGCUGGGCGGCCUGCCUUUUGAGGAGGGGUCCUGCAGCCCAGAGACCCUCACUCGCUUCAUGCAGGAUGUGGCUGCCCAGAAUUAUCGCAACCUGUGGCGCCACGCAUAUCACACUUAUGGGCAGCCCUAUAGUCAUAUUCCUGCCCCCUCAGCUGUCCCUGCCCUGGACUCAGUACGACAAGCUCUGCAGAGGGUCUAUGGUUGCCCCUUCCUGCCAGUGGGUGAAACUACCCAAUGCCCAUCAUAUGCCAGAGAUGGCUCCUGUCCCCCACGGGGCUGUCCGGCCUCUCCCAGUCUUCUGAGAGCUGAGGCUCUGCUGGAGUCCCCAGGGAUGCUCUACGUGGUGCACCCUUAUGUGCAGUUCUCCCUGCAUGAUGUGGUCACCUUCAGCCCUGCCAAGCUGACCAACAGCCAAGCCAAGGUGCUCUUCAUUCUCUUCCGUGUACUGAGGGCCAUGGAUGCUUGUCAUCGCCAGGGACUGUCCUGCGGGCCCCUGUCUUUGCACCACAUCGCUGUGGAUGAGAAGCUCUGCAGUGAGCUCCGGCUGGACCUGCGUGCUUAUGAGAGGCCCAAGGAGGAUGAAAAUGAGGAGAGCCCUGCGGCAAGGAACGGGGUGGGCGCGGAGCCUGGAGAGGAGGGAGGACGGGGACCUGGGUGUCCCACCUGCCAGGAGGAACUUAGGGGCCUUGUGCUAGACUGGGUGCACGGCCGCAUCAGCAACUUCCACUACCUCAUGCAGCUGAAUCGGUUGGCAGGUCGGCGGCAGGGGGAUCCCAAUUACCACCCAGUGCUGCCCUGGGUGGUGGACUUCACCACGCCCCACGGGCGCUUCAGAGACCUGCGCAAGUCUAAGUUCCGCCUCAACAAGGGGGAUAAGCAGCUGGACUUCACGUAUGAGAUGACGCGGCAGGCGUUUGUGGCCGGCGGGGCGGGCGGCGGGGAGCCCCCUCACGUUCCUCACCACAUCUCCGACGUGCUCUCGGACAUCACGUACUACGUGUACAAGGCUCGGCGCACACCCCGGUCGGUGCUCUGUGGACAUGUGCGGGCGCAGUGGGAGCCCCAUGAAUAUCCUGCCAGCAUGGAGCGGAUGCAGAGCUGGACCCCGGAUGAGUGCAUCCCCGAGUUCUACACCGAUCCCUCCAUCUUCUGCUCCAUCCACCCCGACAUGCCUGACCUGGACGUGCCAGCCUGGUGCAGCUCCAGCCAGGAGUUCGUGGCUGCCCACCGGGCGCUGCUGGAGAGCCGAGAGGUGUCCCAGGACCUGCACCACUGGAUCGACCUCACCUUUGGCUACAAGCUGCAGGGCAAGGAAGCCGUGAAGGAAAAGAACGUGUGUCUGCACCUGGUGGACGCCCACACGCACCUGACCAACUACGGCGUGGUACAGCUCUUCGAUCAGCCCCACCCCCAGCGCCUGGCCGGGGCCCCUGCCCUGGCCCCUGAACCUCCACUCAUCCCCAGGCUGUUGUUCCAGACCAUCCAGGAGAGCACAGGCCGGGAGGACCUCCCCGGACAGCUUGCGAAUGGAAUGGGCAGGCCAGUCUUGGAGGCCACUCCCUGUGAGGCUGGCUGGGCCCGGGACAGGCCCGCGGUGGGGGAGGAUGACUUGGAGCAGGCCACAGAAGCUCUGGAUUCCAUCGCCCUCGCUGGGAAAGCAGGUGACCAGCUGGGCCCCUCUUCCAGCCCGUCCUCCUCCUCCAGUCAAGCCCCCGCCGGCCUCCUGUCUUUCUCAGGGGCAUCAGCCUCUCGACCAGGCCGCAGGAACAAAGCUGCUGGGGCAGACCCUGGGGAGGGUGAGGAGGGCAGGGUUUUUCUUCCAGAGGGCUUCAAUCCUGUGCAGGCUCUGGAAGAGCUGGAGAAACUAGGCAACUUCCUGACCAAGGGCCUAGGGGGCCGCUUGGAGGUGCCAGAGCAGCCCCAGGUCCGGCCCACGGCGCAGCUGCGGGACCUCUUUCAUCGGGAUAUGCAGGCGCUGGGUGUCCUGUUGGCUGAGAUGGUGUUUGCCACCAGGGUCCGGACACUGCAGCCAGACGCGCCUUUGUGGGUACGCUUCAAGGCGGUUCGAGGGCUCUGCAGGCGCUAUCUCAAGGAGGUCCCUGUGUCUCUGCAGCCCGUGCUGGACACGCUCCUGCAGCUGAGUGGCCCUGAAAGCCCCGUGGUUGCAGGGAGGGGCAGGCUGGACCCGCUGUUUGAGUACAGGCCCAUCUCCCAGGGAUUGCCCCCACCGUGCCCGGCCCAGCUCCUCAGCCCCUUGAGCUCCGUGGUUCCCUUCCCUCCGUACUUCCCGGCGCUGCACAAGUUCAUCCUCCUGUACCAGGCAAAGCGCGUGGAGGAUGAGGCCCAGGGGCGGGAACUGGUCUUUGCUCUGUGGCAGCAACUGGGUGCCGUUCUGAGUGACAUCACCCCCGAGGGCCUGGAGAUCCUGCUGCCUUUCGUGCUGUCACUCAUGUCUGAGGAGCACACGGCCGUGUAUACGGCCUGGUACCUAUUUGAACCUGUUGCCAAGGCCCUAGGCCCCAAAAAUGCUAAUAAGUACCUACUGAAGCCUCUCAUUGGUGCCUACGAGAGCCCCUGCCGGCUCCAUGGCCGCUUCUACCUGUACACCGACUGCUUCGUGGCCCAGCUGAUCGUGCGGCUGGGCCUGCAGGCCUUUCUGGUCCACCUGCUGCCCCACAUCCUGCAGGUGCUGGCUGGUGUGGAGGCCUCCCAGGAGGAAAGCAAGGGGCUGGUGGGGGCUGCUGAGGAUGAGGAGAGCGGGCUCCCGGGGGCCGGGCCCAGUUCCUGCGCCUUUGGGGAGGAGAUGCAGAUGGAUGGGGAGCCCACUGCCUCCUCGGGCCUGGGGCUCCCGGACUACACGUCUGGUGUCAGCUUCCAUGACCAGGCCGACCUCCCUGAGACAGAGGACUUCCAGGCCGGGCUCUACGUGGCUGAGUCUCCUCAGCCCCAGGAGGCCGAGGCUGUGAGCCUGGGCCGGCUGAGCGACAAGAGCAGCACCAGUGAGACGUCCCUGGGUGAGGAGCGGGUGGCCGACGAAGGCGGCGCCCCAGUGGACAAGAGCAGCCUCAGGUCAGGCGACAGCAGCCAGGACUUGAAGCAAAGCGAGGGCUCCGAGGAGGAAGAGGAGGAGGAGGAUGGCUGUGUGGUUUUGGAGGAGGGGGAGGAGGAGCAAGACGAGGUCCCCGAGGCGUCUGAGCUCACGCUCUCGGACACGGUGCUGUCCAUGGAUACGGUUGUGGCCGGUGGCGGCGGGGCCGACGACGGGGAGGAAGAAGAGGAGCCACUGACGGAGCAAUCGGAGGGCAAAGAACAGAAGAUCCUUCUUGAUACAGCCUGCAAGAUGGUCCGCUGGCUGUCCGCCAAGCUUGGUCCAACAGUGGCCUCUCGCCAUGUGGCCCGGAACCUGCUCCGCCUGCUGACGUCGUGUUAUGUUGGGCCCACCCGGCAGCAGUUCACGGCGAGCAAUGGCGAGAGCCCCCCGCUGAGUGCUGGCAACAUCUACCAGAAGAGACCCGUCCUGGGGGAUAUAGUGUCGGGACCCGUGCUCAGCUGCCUCCUCCACGUCGCCCACCUGUACGGGGAGCCCGUCCUCACCUACCAGUACCUGCCCUACAUCAGCUACCUGGUGGCCCCGGGCAGCACCUCAGGCCCCAGUCGACUGAACAGCCGCAAGGAGGCGGGGCUGCUGGCCGCGGUAACACUGACCCAGAGGAUCAUCGUGUACCUGUCAGAUACGACGCUCAUGGACAUCCUGCCCCGGAUCAGCCACGAGGUCCUGCUGCCCGUGCUCAGCUUCCUCACGUCCCUCGUCACGGGGUUCCCAAGCGGAGCCCAGGCCCGGACUGUCCUGUGUGUGAAAACCAUCAGCCUCAUCGCCCUCAUCUGCCUGCGCAUCGGCCAGGAAAUGGUCCAGCAGCACCUGAGUGAGCCUGUGGCCACCUUCUUUCAAGUCUUCUCUCGUCUGCAUGAUCUUCAGCACCAGGAUUGGAAGCUGGAGUCCAUGGGCCGCAGUGAGGGCCAGCUGCCGGAGGUGGCCUUCUCUGACGGGCAGCUGCGGCUGGUGGACCCCACCGUGCUGGACGAGCUGCAGAAGGUGUUCACCUUGGAGAUGGCAUACACAAUCUACGUGCCCUUCUCCUGCCUGUUGGGUGACAUCAUCCGGAAAAUCAUCCCCAAUCACGAGCUGGUGGGGCAGCUGGCAGGGCUGUACCUGGAGAGCAUCAGCCCAAGCAGUCGCAGCCCUGCCAGCCUGGAGCCCACUGCGCCCAGCACCAGCCCUGAGUGGGACCCCCAGGGAGGGAGCUGCCCCCAGGAUGACGGCCACUCAGGGACCUUUGGGAGUGUCCUGGUCGGGAACCGAAUCCAGAUCCCCGGCGACUCCCAGCCUGAGAGCCCUGGCCCGCUGGGCCCCAUCUCCGGGGUGGGUGGUGGGGGCGUCGGCAGCCUGAGCGAGGACAACGCGCUGAAGCGGGAGCUGCCGCGGAGCGCCCACGGGCUGAGCGGGAACUGGCUGGCCUACUGGCAGUACGAGAUUGGCGUCAGCCAGCAGGAUGCCCACUUCCGCUUCCACCAGAUCCGCCUGCAGAGCUUCCCGGGCCACUCAGGGGCCAUCAAGUGCGUGGUGCCCCUGAGCAGCGAGGACUUUUUCCUUAGUGGCAGCAAAGAUCGCACUGUGCGCCUCUGGCCGCUCUACAACUCCGGGGAUGGCACCCGGGAGACAGCCCCGCGCCUCGUCUACACCCAGCACCGCAAGAGCGUCUUCUUCGUGGGCCAGCUCGAGGCCCCGCAGUGUGUGGUGAGCUGUGACGGGGCUGUGCACAUCUGGGACCCCUUCACAGGUGAGCGGGCCCAGGGAAGACCCUUCGCACGGUGGAGCCGUCGGACAGCCGGGUGCCCCUGACUGCCGUGGCUGUCAUGCCCGCCCCCUACACCAGCAUCACCAUGGCCAGCUCUGACUCGACCCUGCGCUUUGUGGACUGCAGGAAGCCUGGCCUGCAGCAUGAGUUCCGCCUGAGCGGCGGGCUGAACCCUGGUCUGGUUCGCUCCCUGGCUGUCAGCCCCAGCGGCCGGAGUGUCGUGGCCGGCUUCUCCUCGGGCUUCAUGGUGCUCCUGGACACCCGUACAGGCCUGGUUCUGCGGGGCUGGCCUGCCCAUGAAGGAGACAUCCUGCAGAUCAAGGCGGUGGAGGGCAGCCUCCUGGUCAGCUCCUCCUCCGACCAUUCCUUGACCGUCUGGAAGGAGCUGGAGCCGAAGCCCACGCAUCACUACAAGUCCGCCUCUGAUCCCAUCCACACCUUCGACUUGUAUGGCAGCGAGGUGGUGACGGGCACCGUGGCCAACAAGAUCGGCGUCUGCUCCUUGCUUGAGCCGCCUUCCCAGGCCACCACCAAGCUCAGCUCCGAGAACUUCCGCGGCACGCUCACCAGCCUGGCCUUGCUGCCCACCAAACGCCACCUCCUGCUGGGCUCAGACAACGGGGUCAUCCGCCUCCUGGCGUAGCCAAGGCGGGAGCUGGCCCGGUGGAGGAGGGCGCACGACCUCGGGGAGUCCAUCCCCUCGCCCUUGUCUCCCCAGCAGCUCCUCCGGGCAAGCCUUAGGCCCACGUGGCCUGCCAGUUAGGGUGGCGUGGGGAGGUCUGGGCUCCUGAACCCCCAGAGCCACCAAGGCUGCCAGAACGGAUCAUGCCCCUAGCUUGGGGCGAUGUUGCUCCGGGCCAGCAGGAAGCAGGAGGGAGAUCUGGGGGAAAGCAUCGCUGCCCCCACUUCUCCCCAGCUCUGCCCUCAUUUUCCAUAUGGGGACAGGACGCUCCGGGAAGGGGACAGGAGACCCCCUGCCUGGCCAGUCCCCAGCCACGGUCCCCCCUUGCCGGGCUCGCUGUGCCCCUAUGCCGUGAGGACAGGGAAGCCACCCCAGUCCAGGACACUGAUGGUGCUUGGACUCCAGCCUCUAAGGAGGACUGGCCGUGGUCCAGGAGUUAAGGGGCUUGGGCUGGGGUGUAAGUGUCCCCCCAGCCAGUCCCUGCCCAGUGUGGGACCAUGAGGGGACGUGGGCAAGACCAAAGGCGGGAAGAUGCACAGGGCCAGGGGGUGCCUGCCCACCCGUCACCACAGUGUUUGUGCCUUGAGCUGAUGAGGCAGCCUCUGGGGUCCAGAAUCCCUGGGGGAGCGGGUCCAACACCCUGAAAGAAGGAGCAAGAAGAGUCAUCUCUGCACCUCAGGUCUCCCUCCGCCAGGGGACAGGAAGACCCGGGCACUCAGAGAUGAUGUCUGAGGCCGGGCCCCUGCUGCCUUCUCGCUAUUUGCAAUAGAUGUAAAUAUGAUCAAUAAACCUUUGGAAGAGCCAGG